GGUUGACCUCGGAUCAGGUAGGGAUACCCGCUGAACUUAAGCAUAUCAAUAAGCGGAGGAAAAGAAACCAACUGGGAUUGCCUUAGUAACGGCGAGUGAAGCGGCAAUAGCUCAAAUUUGAAAGCUGGCCCCUUUGGGGUCCGCGUUGUAAUUUGUAGAGGAUGAUUCGGCGAGGGCUCCCGUCUAAGUCCCCUGGAACGGGGCGUCAUAGAGGGUGAGAAUCCCGUAUGUGAUGGGUUGCCUUAGCCAUGUGAAUCUCCUUCGACGAGUCGAGUUGUUUGGGAAUGCAGCUCUAAAUGGGAGGUAAAUUUCUUCUAAAGCUAAAUACCGGCCAGAGACCGAUAGCGCACAAGUAGAGUGAUCGAAAGAUGAAAAGCACUUUGGAAAGAGAGUUAAAAAGUACGUGAAAUUGUUGAAAGGGAAGCGCUUGCAGCCAGACUUGUCCGCAGUUGCUCAGCCGGUCUCCUGACCGGCGUACUCUUCUGCGGCCAGGCCAGCAUCAGUUCGGGCGGUCGGAUAAAGACCCCAGGAAUGUAGCUCCUCUCGGGGAGUGUUAUAGCCUGGGGUGGAAUGCGGCCAGCCUGGACUGAGGAUCUCGCUUCGGCUAGGAUGCUGGCGUAAUGGCUGUAAGCGGCCCGUCUUGAAACACGGACCAAGGAGUCUAACAUCUAUGCGAGUGUUUGGGUGUCAAACCCAUACGCGUAAUGAAAGUGAACGGAGGUGGGAACCCUCACGGGUGCACCAUCGACCGAUCCUGAUGUCUUCGGAUGGAUUUGAGUAAGAGCAUAGCUGUUGGGACCCGAAAGAUGGUGAACUAUGCCUGAAUAGGGUGAAGCCAGAGGAAACUCUGGUGGAGGCUCGCAGCGGUUCUGACGUGCAAAUCGAUCGUCAAAUUUGGGUAUAGGGGCGAAAGACUAAUCGAACCAUCUAGUAGCUGGUUCCUGCCGAAGUUUCCCUCAGGA
rnacentral:rRNA from 1 species